UUUGAGGGGGUGGGGGUGGGGGUGGGGCUGGUGAAGAAGUUAAGGGUGAACAUCUCUUACUAUAGGUGUUGGAACACCAACAUAGUAAGAGGUCAUAUUCAUCAAACUGCAAGCAUAUUUAAGCAAGCAGUAGUUCUCAUUUUGACAGGACAGUGGACCUUUUUAUUUUGAUUCAGAACAAAGAAAGAGAAAUCAGCUUAAAUAUCAGCCAGGUUAUCCUGCACCAAGGGGGCAUUUAAUUGUCAGGUUUUACUAGCUAGAUUUAUGCAAAGCUUAAAAUUACGAAACACUUGCUUGGCUAUGUUUUCAAUAUAACUAAUUUCAUAUAUUCAGGCAAGUCAUAAAACUGGAAGAAUGAGUUGCAUGAAAAGUCUGUUUUUCGUAGAAUCUGUCUUACAGAAAAAUAGGUUUCAUCUCUUCCAAGAAGCCGCAGACGAUCAAACAACCCCAGUGGGUUGUCUUUUCACCCUUAUUUUUCUUCAGAAUUCCAGAUAGGAGUUAACAAUGGACAUUUAUGAUUUUACAUGAGUGUAUUUACUGUUAUUUGUUUUUGAUUGAUCAGAUGUGACUUACAGUCAAGGACAAAUCUGAAUAGUUGCUGAUAUAAAAUUGGAAGCACUUGAAAAGGGAAUCCUCAGAUAUGAUUUAUGGAUAAGAUCUUGUUCGCUAGACUGUUCUAACAUAAAAAUGAAUUGUUGAAAGUGGCCAUAUCUGUUAUCUAGAGUCCAAAAAUUAAGCAGUUAGGUUUGAAACAUUGUGUGGCAACCAUACUUUUAUGGGGCCUAUUUUGACUCGUAAUGUUCACAAGCUGAGUUGAGGUUUUAUUGUCUAUUAGGAAGUUUUAUUCUUACAUCCUGACGGGGAAUAGUUCAAGUAUGAUUUGGUUUCACCCUGUCCAAAAUGUAUAUUGGAUCAAUCAUCUUUUCUACAGUUGUUUUUUUUUUUGUUUCAGUGAAAUGUACUAACGCCAAUUAGAGAAAAAACUAUGUGAUCAAUGAACUUAUUCAGUUAUUCCAAAAGCUGCCUGGCGUAAGACAUCGAUUUUUACCAAUAUCGUGUAUCUAGUCAUGGUCAUCCCUUAGAGUGUCAUUAAUGAUAUAAAAAAAGAAAUGAAUUUUUGAGGAAAAAACCCUGAGAAUCAUGAAUCAAAAUUCGCCUAAAAAUUAAAGACUGCUGAUCUGAUUUUAACAAAGGAUUAUAUGAAGAGUUCUGUUUUCUUGGGUAGGAAGUUGAUAUAUGUUUCCAAGCUGUAUGUCUUCCAUGAAUGUUUUUGGAUGAGGAGAGAGGGGAUGGUGCAUGGUUGUUGGUCAAAUAAUUCGUUUUGUAUUCACUUUGCAAUUGCAGUACCAUUAAGACUUUUUUUUUAUUGUCUUUACAGUGGAAACUGUAUGACAUGUACGUAUGAGCUGAUCUUUUGAGAAAACCUUGAUUUGUGAAGGUACUCAUUACUCAAGGUUCACGGGAUGUUACCCCCCAUUGAUCUUCUUUUGCUUGGCUCAGUUAAUUUGUGGUAGAUGAUACCAUGUUCUCUGCUUUCGUCGGACUUUGGCCCUGCCUCUGAAAAGGGCAUAUCAGAGUAAAAUUUCAUUUUAGUGGAGUAUUUCUUCUGUUUGUGUUGGGGUACAGGGUCCUUUAUAAUCAACUAUUAGGUGGUUUAUAAUGUGGGGGCUAAUCUAUCCAUCAAUGUAGGGCCUGUGGAUUUUAUUAGAUGAAUUAAUGCUUGGAGAAAAUGCUCUGCUUCAUGUCUUUUGGGGAACUGUUGAUGAUUUUUGGAAUCUGGAUUUUAUCAAGAAGUUACUUAUACCGUCUUU